rfam:Brachypodium distachyon strain Bd21 chromosome 2, whole genome shotgun sequence.
UUUCUACUUCCUCCAUCCAACAAAAGAUGUCCUAAGUUUGUAAAAAUUUGGAUGUAUCUAGACAUGACUUAGUGUAUAGAUGCAUUCAAAUUUAGUCAAAGUUGAGACAUCUUUUGUUGGACGGAGUGGGUACUUU